CCCAGGUGGGAUUAGCUAGUUGGUGAGGUAAGGGCUCACCAAGGCGACGAUCCCUAGCUGGUCUGAGAGGAUGAUCAGCCACACUGGAACUGAGACACGGUCCAGACUCCUACGGGAGGCAGCAGUGGGGAAUAUUGCACAAUGGGCGCAAGCCUGAUGCAGCCAUGCCGCGUGUGUGAAGAAGGCCUUCGGGUUGUAAAGCACUUUCAGUCGUGAGGAAGGUGGUAGUGUUAAUAGCACUAUCAUUUGACGUUAGCGACAGAAGAAGCACCGGCUAACUCCGUGCCAGCAGCCGCGGUAAUACGGAGGGUGCGAGCGUUAAUCGGAAUUACUGGGCGUAAAGCGCAUGCAGGUGGUUUGUUAAGUCAGAUGUGAAAGCCCGGGGCUCAACCUCGGAACUGCAUUUGAAACUGGCAGACUAGAGUACUGUAGAGGGGGGUAGAAUUUCAGGUGUAGCGGUGAAAUGCGUAGAGAUCUGAAGGAAUACCGGUGGCGAAGGCGGCCCCCUGGACAGAUACUGACACUCAGAUGCGAAAGCGUGGGGAGCAAACAGGAUUAGAUACCCUGGUAGUCCACGCUGUAAACGAUGUCUACUUGGAGGUUGUGGCCUUGAGCCGUGGCUUUCGGAGCUAACGCGUUAAGUAGACCGCCUGGGGAGUACGGUCGCAAGAUUAAAACUCAAAUGAAUUGACGGGGGCCCGCACAAGCGGUGGAGCAUGUGGUUUAAUUCGAUGCAACGCGAAGAACCUUACCUACUCUUGACAUCCAGAGAAUCUAGCGGAGACGCUGGAGUGCCUUCGGGAACUCUGAGACAGGUGCUGCAUGGCUGUCGUCAGCUCGUGUUGUGAAAUGUUGGGUUAAGUCCCGCAACGAGCGCAACCCUUAUCCUUGUUUGCCAGCGAGUAAUGUCGGGAACUCCAGGGAGACUGCCGGUGAUAAACCGGAGGAAGGUGGGGACGACGUCAAGUCAUCAUGGCCCUUACGAGUAGGGCUACACACGUGCUACAAUGGCGCAUACAGAGGGCGGCCAACUUGCGAAAGUGAGCGAAUCCCAAAAAGUGCGUCGUAGUCCGGAUUGGAGUCUGCAACUCGACUCCAUGAAGUCGGAAUCGCUAGUAAUCGUGGAUCAGAAUGCCACGGUGAAUACGUUCCCGGGCCUUGUACACACCGCCCGUCACACCAUGGGAGUGGGCUGCAAAAGAAGUGGGUAGUUUAACCUUCGGGAGGACGCUCACCACUUUGUGGUUCAUGACUGGGGUGAAGUCGUAACAAGGUAGCGCUAGGGGAACCUGGCGCUGGAUCACCUCCUUA
rnacentral:rRNA from 1 species